UUUUUGGUACCAGGGAUCAAACUCGUAACCUCAUGCUUGUCCAGCAGAUGCUUAUGCCACUGAGCUAAGUCCCUAGCUCAACUUUCUAAUUUCUUAGCAUUACAACUGAGGUAAACUGAAGAGCUGUAAAUGUUACUAGUUGAUGAAAGAAUACCCCUCUGUAUGAUCUGUUGGGUUAGUGAGGUCUCCCUGGAACAAAACAAUUAUCCACACUUAUCUGAAAUUUGCCACUAUCAUGCAAGGGAAGCGUGCUAAUAUUAUGUUAAGAUAAGUUUUGUUUUUCAGUCAAUGUGAGGAAAAAGGAACAGACUAGAGAUGAAACAGUUUCCUUGUGGCUCUUGGAGUUAACUGAAAGACAGAUUGUUCUUUGCAGUGAUGUUACUCAUGCUACUUGAUUAAGGAUUUGAACACUUUUAGAAAAGUCAAAUUUCAAACGCUUAUAACAUUUUUAGAAAAACCUUGUACUGAAACUUGACAAAUUGUAGCUCAGGGUGAGACUAGAUAAUUACAUGAAGAGAAGGAAAAAAGUAGGCACAGAUAAGCCUAUGGAGGAACAGAUUCACUUUUAAGAAUUCUUUGUUUGUUGGAGAUUUUCUCCAGUAAAAAGUCAAACUGAGUGAAAACCUUGCGACUUACAUGUACUAGUCAUGAGAUAAUGUGAACACAGUAAAAUUUAACCAGUGUUUUCUGUUAUGGGACAAAUUACUUUUAGUUUAUUUAAACAGAAUACUUUCACAGUGAUUUUACUGACUUCUAAUUCUUUGCAAAGAGGAUGCACCUAGAGAAAUUUUAAAAGACAGGAGGAAAUAUAAACAAAUGAUAAAUUCAGGGCAGGACCUUUGCUCUGGACACCUUGUUUUGUUGCAGCUGUAUUUCAUUUCUUUUUACUGCAUUUUUAACAGUAGAAAGCUUGGCUGCUAGUUAGUGGGUUCCACUCCCCCUCUUUUUCAGGGAGAAGCAGGGCAAAGAAAUUAUGAUGUGUGCCAUAUUGUAAAAGGAAACAUUUGCUUAGAAAUCUGUAGCUGACAUUUUUAUGCAGGAUCUUAUGCUUUCAAGGCAAUGAAAAGCUGGACAAUGUUUUCCUUUGAGAGUGUGAGGAGGAUCUCAAAUGAAAAUGGACCAUAUUUACUGGUAUCUGGUAAAAAUUGGUAUGUUUUGGUUCCUUUUCCCACUAGGUGUGGGUUGGCCACAAAUAUUGUGUGAUUAAGAUUGCUACAGACCUGGAGUUCAUCCUGAAUACUCUGCAGAGUUUGAACACUUAGAUUUUUACCUUUUCAUGGAAUCUUUUAAAAGUAUUUCUGAUAGUGUUUUAGUAAAAAUAUGAAGACAUGGAGUGUUCUUAGAGAAUUCUGUUGAUAUAAUUUUUUAAAUCAUUUAUAUGUUUAAGUAUUUGAAAUUUUCUUUUCUAAGGCUCACUAAAGAAUGAUAUAUUUUUGACAAAUUCAACAUUUCAUGCAAGAAUCCUUAUGGAAUUGUCCACAAUCAGCUUUCACCUCUGCAAGCAAAAUAUUUGUAGGGUCAGUGGCAGUGAAAAUAUAAAAGAUGUGACUGGAUGGAUGCAGUACACUGUGGUCUGAGUCACAGGUCUUGGUAAAGUUUGGAGGAAGUAAGAAGAGUCCAUUUUUGUGAUAGCCCUUGAGAAAGUACAAAUAUGUGCGGCGCCUUUACUGCAGCAGAUUACCAACAAAACAUAAGAUGCAGAAUGCCCUGGAGACUGAACAAGGUCCAUAUUUGCUGAGGCUCUAAAUUGGAGUAGUUAACUUGGAGCGGCUGCUCUCUGCCCUGCAGCAGGUGAGAAGGCAGACAGGUCAGCACGGGCUUUCUACUUUAGGAAUCAGUUUGCCAAGGAUGCCUUAGGAGCAGCUGCCCUGGUUUCCAGGUUCCAGAGCUUUCCACACCUUCUGGCUUGCGUUUGCUCCAGAGCUGCACGAGUCACUGACUGCACACAGCCUUGUUCACAGCGUGUGGCCAAACCCUUCUGAGACCUUCAUUCCUGGGGAAAGUGAGCCAAGGAGGACAUGGUGCGUGAGGCAGAUUUUAAAUAACACUGACCUUAUAAAAUUGCUCUUAAAUUUUUAAAAUCUACAUUGGCUCUUUUUAUUUCAAACCAUUUCCUCGUUGUCAUAGUCAAUAUUUGCAGAGGCUUUAUAGGAACACAAUAUAUCCUUUUUGUAUUUCCAUUCAAAACUAACUGUAUCUUUACGGCAGAUGGACUCCCUUUUUUUGCUGAAGGAAAUUUGUGCAGAUAAGAUGAAUGGCAACUAAGAGUUAAAUGGUGACUCAUUUGAUAGUCAAAGGUUAUCAGAAGGAAAAUAUGAAAUAAGGGACUACCCAACCUACUGAGGGACUCACUUUGUUCUCUUUUUUUCCCUGAAACACUCUUUGCAUUCUCUGAUAAACCAAACAGGAGACAAAGUGUAUAAUCCAAAAAAUAUACGAUAUCAUUUUGUCAGGGAAGAAAAUAAAUUACACUUAAUCUAUCUUACAGCUUUGUAAGUGAGUAAAUGUAGCAAUAUAAUAUAUAAAAGGAGAUGAAAUUAGCACUCUUUCAAUAUGAUUGCUGUUUUUCUUGAUAAUGAUCGAAUAGUAGUUGAUUUCAUAGAAAUAAAGGAGCAAUGUACAUUAAAUUGUGCUCUUGGGAUAUUAACCUGGCAUUACCUCUGCAAAAAAGGGACCAAGAUGAAGACUAGGAAAUGCAGUUUCAUUUUUGGUGCCAACAUAAUUUAAAAAAUCAAUAUUCAGCGUUAAAUUUGUUAUUAAAUAGCCAAAUGGCAGCAUGAAAAGACCUUAGGCAAUAAGCGCAGAGACAAGGGUUCUAGCUAGAAUUGGCUGUCUACUGACCUUAGUCAGGUUGCUUUACUGUGUUGAAAUUAACUUUGUAAACUUUAAUCUAGAAUAAGCUAAAUCCCCAGCACGUUUUAAAGGUCUUAACACAAAAAUUUUGGGAGAAGAAUGCUAUUUCCACACACACAUGCACGCACGUGCACACACACACACACACAUGA